UGGAGAGUUUGAUCCUGGCUCAGGACGAACGCUGGCGGCGUGCUUAACACAUGCAAGUCGAACGGAAAGGCCCCUUCGGGGGUACUCGAGUGGCGAACGGGUGAGUAACACGUGGGUGAUCUGCCCUGCACUUUGGGAUAAGCCUGGGAAACUGGGUCUAAUACCGAAUAGGACCGCGCGCUUCAUGGUGUGUGGUGGAAAGCUUUUGCGGUGUGGGAUGGGCCCGCGGCCUAUCAGCUUGUUGGUGGGGUAAUGGCCUACCAAGGCGACGACGGGUAGCCGGCCUGAGAGGGUGUCCGGCCACACUGGGACUGAGAUACGGCCCAAACUCCUACGGGAGGCAGCAGUGGGGAAUAUUGCACAAUGGGCGCAAGCCUGAUGCAACAACGCCGCGUGGGGGAUGACGGCCUUCGGGUUGUAAACCUCUUUCAGUAUCGGCGAAGCUCCAGGAUUCUUCUUGGGGUAACGGUAGGUCAGAAGAAGCACCGGCCAACUACGUGCCAGCAGCCGCGGUA
rnacentral:rRNA from 1 species